UACGUAGGAUGCAAGCGUUGUCCGGAAUUAUUGGGCGUAAAGCGAACGUAGGCGGUUUCUUAAGAUUGGUCUUAAAGACCGGGGCUCAACCUCGGGAAUGGAUCGAUAACUGGGAGACUGGAGGACGUCAGAGGAAAGUGGAAUUCCGAGUGUAGCGGUGAAAUGCGUAGAUAUUCGGAGGAACACCAGUGGCGAAAGCGGCGAUCUGGGAAGAUACUGACGCUGAGGUGCGAAAGCGUGGGGAGCAAACGGG
rnacentral:rRNA from 1 species